GCUGGGUGUGGUGGUGCAUGCCUGAAAUCACAGCAGUUUGGGAGGCUGAGGCAGGGGGAUCCAGAUCAAAGCCAGCCUCAGCAUAAAUGAAUAGCUACUCAGUGAGACCCUGUCUCUA
rnacentral:sRNA from 1 species